rnacentral:rRNA from 1 species
UACGAAGGGAGCUAGCGUUGUUCGGAAUCACUGGGCGUAAAGCGCACGUAGGCGGAUGUGUCAGUCAGGGGUGAAAUCCCGGAGCUCAACUUCGGAACUGCCUCUGAUACAGCACGUCUUGAGUCCGAUAGAGGUGGGUGGAAUUCCUAGUGUAGAGGUGAAAUUCGUAGAUAUUAGGAAGAACACCAGUGGCGAAGGCGGCCCACUGGAUCGGGUACGUGACGC